GACGAACGCUGGCGGCGUGCUUAACACAUGCAAGUCGAACGCUGAAGCUUGGUGCUUGCACUGGGUGGAUGAGUGGCGAACGGGUGAGUAAUACGUGAGUAACCUGCCCUUGACUCUGGGAUAAGCCUGGGAAACUGGGUCUAAUACUGGAUAUGACAUGCCACUGCAUGGUGGUGUGUGGAAAGGGUUUUACUGGUUUUGGAUGGGCUCACGGCCUAUCAGCUUGUUGGUGGGGUAAUGGCCUACCAAGGCGACGACGGGUAGCCGGCCUGAGAGGGUGACGGGACAGACGGGGAAGGAAAGGAGGCAGGGGCUCACGAGGGAGGGAGGAGGGGGGUAGAGGGCAAAAGGGGCGGAGGCUGAAAGACCUAAAGCAGAGGGAGGGAUGAGGGAGUUAGGGUUGGAACCCUAGUACAGCAGGGAAACAGCGGGAGAGGCGGAGGGGUAAUAAGAGGACCGGCAAAGUUCAGAC
rnacentral:rRNA from 1 species